rnacentral:rRNA from 1 species
UACAGAGGGUGCAAGCGUUAAUCGGAAUUAUUGGGCGUAAAGGGCUUGUAGGUGGUUAUAUAAGUUAGAUGUGAAAACCCUGGGCUUAACCUGGGACGUGCAUAUAAUACUGUAUAGCUAGAGUAGAGCAGAGGAGUGGGGAAUUCCUGGUGUAGCAGUGAAAUGCGUAGAGAUCAGGAGGAACAUCAGUGGCGAAGGCGCCACUCUGGGCUCAUACUGACACUGAGGAGCGAAGGCGUGGGGAUCAAACAGG